AUGAACGCUAGCGGCAGGCUUAAUACAUGCAAGUCGAACGGUAACAUGAGUAGCAAUACUUGAUGACGAGUGGCGCACGGGUGCGUAACGCGUAUGCAAUCUACCUUUAACUGGUGAAUAGCCCGAAGAAAUUCGGAUUAAUACACCAUAGUAUAACGAAGAGGCAUCUCUUUGUUAUUAAAACUCCGGUGGUUAAAGAUGAGCAUGCGUGACAUUAGCUAGUUGGUGAGGUAAUGGCUCACCAAGGCAACGAUGUCUAGGGGAUCUGAGAGGAUUAACCCCCACACUGGUACUGAGACACGGACCAGACUCCUACGGGAGGCAGCAGUAAGGAAUAUUGGACAAUGGUCGCAAGACUGAUCCAGCCAUGCCGCGUGAAGGAUGAAGGCCCUAUGGGUUGUAAACUUCUUUUGUAUGGGAAAAAACCCCUCUACGUGUAGAGGGCUGAUUGUACCAUAAGAAUAAGGAUCGGCUAACUCCGU
rnacentral:rRNA from 1 species